CACAGCCGGCCUUGGGAAUGACCCCCUGUCCGGGAAUGACCCUCCCACCCCGGGAAUUCACCGUCCGGGAAUGACCAGCGCUCAGGGUGCCUGCCCCAUCAGCGAACCCAUCUCAACACCAGGCUGUUGGUGACAUCUGUCCAGUUCCUCUUCCAGGCUGUGACUGUCCCAGGCCACUGCAGGGAGGGCUUUCUCCUUGGGUGACACUGUUGCCCAAUCUCUGAGUUCACGUACGAAGGGACCAGAGCUGGGACAAAGAGACCAGGCAGGAGGCAGAGCCGUGUGAAAUACUGGCGUGUUUAUUGGUUGGCACUAGAUUACAGCCCACACUCUCGGCAAACUGGCAUCCACCAAUUUAAUUUUUUCAGUUUUUCACUCUUUUAAAGACAGUGACGGCCUCCCCCUUGCACACAACUCAACAGAGGAAACCCCUCGUGACAGGACCCCGCCGCACCACCCGGCUCCACACAAGGAGAGCCCUCCGGCCUUUCUGGAGACACUGUGGAUGAAAGGUCAGAAUCACAUGGGAUGUCCUGCACCUGCCAGCCAGGACCGAGCAGGAGCAGGAGAACAUCUGCAUUAUCCAGAGGUUCCAACUGAGACGGAUCCCCAAAGGAAACAGAACGUGUUUUCUAAUUCACACGUGUGACUUUGAACAAAGGUGGUGUAAGAACACAUCGGUGAGAAAGAGAAAAGAGCAUCUAUUGCAAUGCUCCAUUUCCAAAGGGCCUUUGCUGUUGCAAAGUGUUUCUGCAAACUAUUUAAUUUGUUGUAACCCUCCCAUGCGAAGUUCACCAGGAGAUUAGAAACACCAAGUGCUGGAGGGAGGAACAGAGAUCUGCAGCCAAGAAAAUAAACCCAAACAGAUUAUAGGAAUUACAAGUACAAAACCAUCUUGAAUUCACAGAGAAUUGAGUAUUUCACUUGCAACUUAUGAAAAUUACUGAAAAUAUCUGGCCUUUUUAAAUCCUAAUAAAACAGCAAGUUUGUUCUCUCCAUCAGUUUUCCUUCUGCAAACUUGCUGACACUUCCCUGGGAAAGCCAGGUGGCAGGAGUGGCACAAGAACCUCCAUGAGACAUCCCAGCUGACCCCAGCACAUCCCAACUGACCCCAGCACAUCCCAACCGACCCCAGCACAUCCCAGCUGACCCCACCAUCGCAUGGAGCACAGCACCCAGGGAUCCCUCACCAGGCUCUGUGGUUGCCAUCGGCCCCCACCCCAGGCUGGACAUUUCGAUGACUUGGAUCAGUACCUGGAAGGGCUCCGAACUCGUUUUCCCUUGCACCUGGGUCAGUUCCACCCUCAAUUGUGGGGGUGAGGUCGAAGGUACCAGCUCAGACACAAACCAGAAACAGUCAAAGCCCUACAGCUCUGACCAACCAUGGAGAUUCCUUGUUUUGGGGAGGAAUGGAGAAGCCUCAGGCAAACACACCCACGGACAGGAUGUUGGACAAUGGACCCUGGUCAUUCAUCCCUCAACCAGGGUCUGGGGCCCCGUUCUCCUGAUUUGGGGGGGCUGCCAGGAACCCCCCAUGUACACAGAGCUCAUGGAAGGACUGAGCAGCAAAGGCAAAGUGAUCAUUCCAGAUUUUCUGAUUUAAUAAAUAUAAAAUAGGACACACAGGAAAUUGAACAAACACUCUCACACCUCCCCAGGUUCAUUUCUGAGGCAAUUCUAGAGCCGAUUCAUCAAGUAUAACAUCAAAAUUCCCAUCUUCCCAAAAAAAAAAAAAAAAGAAAGAAAAGAAAAAACCCUAUGGACUAGCACCAAAGAGAGAUUUAUAAAUCUCUUAAAUACAACUUCAGUUCAGUUUCUUUUUCACCAGCUACACCUUUGUUAUGCACAGACCCCCUGACACCACCCCAGCAUAGCACUCCAGGAUCUCGGCAGCCCAGAGCAGCUGGGUUAGUUCAUUCCAAGGUUAGGAAAAUGAGGAUCACGCCCUGUGUGUGUCAGGAGCUCAGGGACCAGCUGAGGGGCACUCAAGCCAUGAGGUCACCACGUCCCUGCAGGGCUGCAGCCACCAGAUGAUGCCAUUACUGAGCAGGAGAACGGAGCCAGGAGGGGAAACCCAGCCUGGGAGCAAGACCAGAGCAGGCACUGCGUCACCCAGAGGGAAAAGCUCCUCACACUGCAACCCUGUCACUGCUUGGGGCAGGUUUGGCUGAAGAUACAGCUCCAAUCCUCCCCCAGCACCAGCCACAGGCUCCCCUUGGGGGGGUCCAACCCCAAACCAAUCCCUCCCCAACGCCCAGUGUCCCCCCCCCCCCCGCUCUGCACAGGGAGGGAUGCUGCAUCUGGCUGUGUGAAAGCACAAACAUUUGGGAUAAAACAGAGAGAACAGGCAGGAAACCUACAGCUCUUGCACAAGUGUUACUUGUUGGACCUGUGCAGCCUCCAGGAUUUCAUUCUCCGGGAGUGACCCGUGUGCUGCGGAAUGCUGAACACAGCUUCUGCAUGGAAAAGCUGAGGCAAAGGCCCAAAGCCCCUGCUAGAUCCGGGAAGGGAACUGAGGAUUCCUGACAUUCCCUACUCACAUUUUCAGCCAGAAUACUUUGUGGCCACACAAGGGAAAAAGCAACACUUGCAGAUUCCAAUCCCUUUUCGUUUUUCCCUUUACAGAGUUUGCUUUAAGGCACAUUCCAGCUCAGGCUGAAUGAGUGCUCCACAGGAGAGUAGGGAAGAGCUCACAGCAUCCAUCUACACAGGAACAGAGCUGGUGGGAAAGCUGAUCCUGCCAUUCAUUCCAGCUCCCACCAAACCCAGCUCCCACCUUGCCCCCAGCACCAGGGCAGACAGCAGGAAGUUUGGGGGGCCCUGACGUGCAGCCCUCAGGCUCUGCUCCCUUCCUCUGCUUAUUCCCAGAACACCUCCACCUGGCUGAGCUGGAAGCAGACCAACCUGAGGAGAUUGUCACCGUGUCCCCUCCCUGCUGUCACUGCCUCGAUCCUUGGGGGUUUUACAGCCCGAAGUUUAAUGUGUUUUCAAUUUGAAAAAAAAUCUUUUUAGUUUGCACAGUGGCUGUUAACUCCACAUCCAGGGAAUGUUCUGCCUAAUGUUGUACCUGGAGAGGUGAAUGCCAGUGGCUCAGAAUUCCCAGUGCCACGGCAGUUCUGAGCCAGGGUGUGCUGGCCCUGCUGACCAUACUGAGUGUGGACAGCUCGGCCAGUGCUGCUGGGAACUGGCAACACUGCCCUGAGAUAGGGGAGGCACAGCUGUGACACUGAGGUUCCAACAAACCACUCAAACAAUCCAUCUUUGGGAAGCCACCAGAGGUACUUUAACAUCACUGAAUUCCAGAUUUCAGGGAGAAUGGGUAAAACCCCUCCCUUCUUUCACUCUUCUCUCCCAGGAAAAGGCAGCACCUCCCAGGCCCAGCAGUGGCCCAGCCAGGCAGCACCCACCACACAGCAGGGAAAUCCCCCAAUCCCCACCUGGGCUUACUCUGAACUGCAAAAGGGUUCUUCCCUUUGAAAUGUGCCUUUGAACAACCUCAGUGUGAGCAAAGUCACAUCUGAAACCCAAACCCGCCCAACAGCAACCACCUCAGCCAGAUGCUCUGUGGUUCCUGCCACACACAAUUUCCAAGCUGCGAAUAACCAAAGAACCAAAAUCCCUUUUCCACAACAACAAAUCCUUGUCUGGGAGACACUCCCCAAAGCCAGAGCCACACAAUUCCAGCUCUGCUGAGUUUCAUUACACUCAGCUCUCUCUGCAGAGGGACGUCCAUCUGCCUCUUAAGUUUUACACAUCAGGUAAGACCACCAGAGAGAUUUGGAAUCUGACAAAUCCUCCUGGAAGGAUCCAGCAGCACUUGGACACACAGGUAUUCCAGGGGUGUCUUCCUUUUCUCCUGCUCCCAUGCUGGAGUCACCAAACUGGUGCAGAGUUCCCUUGCCCCUCACUGGUGUAGCAAGAGUGGGGCGUCCUUGGACAAUGACCACAGGAAUGAAAA